rnacentral:tRNA from 1 species
GAUACAUCAAGACGUUUAUUAAAUCCCCCUCCUAAGGGGAAGGUCGGAGGUUCAAAUCCUCUCCGGGACGCCA